rnacentral:rRNA from 1 species
AGCUCCAAUAGCGUAUAUUAAAGUUGUUGCAGUUAAAAAGCUCGUAGUUGAACUUCAGACCUGGCCGGGCGGUCUGCCUCACGGUAUGUACUGUCUGGCUGGGUCUUACCUCUUGGUGAGCCGGCAUGCUCUUCACUGUGUGUGUCGGGGAACCAGGACUUUUACCUUGAGAAAAUUAGAGUGUUCAAAGCAGGCCUAUGCCCGAAUACAUUAGCAUGGAAUAAUAAAAAUAGGACGUGCGGUUCUAUUUUGUUGGUUUCUAGAGUCGCCGUAAUGAUUAAUAGGGAUAGUUGGGGGCAUUAGUAUUCAGUUGCUAGAGGUGAAAUUCUUGGAUUUACUGAAGACUAACUACUGCGAAAGACAUUUGCCAAGGAUGUUUUCA